UACGUAGGGAGCAAGCGUUGUCCGGAAUCAUUGGGCGUAAAGCGCGCGUAGGUGGCCUCAUAAGUCCGCUGUGAAAGUCAAAGGCUCAACCUUUGAAAGCCGGUGGAUACUGUGAGGCUAGAGUACGGAAGAGGCGAGUGGAAUUCCUGGUGUAGCGGUGGAAUGCGCAGAUAUCAGGAGGAACACCAAUAGCGAAGGCAGCUCGCUGGGACGUUACUGACGCUGAGGCGCGAAAGCGUGGGGAGCGAACAGG
rnacentral:rRNA from 1 species